CCUACGGGUGGCAGCAGUGGGGAAUAUUGGGCAAUGGGCGCAAGCCUGACCCAGCAAUGCCGCGUGAAGGAAGAAGGCUUUCGGGUUGUAAACUUCUUUUCGCAGGGACGAAGCAAGUGACGGUACCUGAGGAAUAAGCCACGGCUAACUACGUGCCAGGAGCCGCGGUAAUACGUAGGUGGCAAGCGUUAUCCGGAUUUACUGGGUGUAAAGGGCGUGUAGGCGGGAAGGCAAGUCAGAUGUGAAAACCAUGGGCUCAACCUGUGGACUGCAUUUGAAACUGUUUGUCUAGAGUACUGGAGAGGUAGGCGGAAUUCCUGGUGUAGCGGUGAAAUGCGUAGAGAUUAGGAGGAACACCAAUGGCGAAGGCAGGCUCCUGGGCAGCUACUGACGCUGAGGCGCGAAAGCGUGGGGAGCAAACAGGAUUAGAUACCCUUGUAGUC
rnacentral:rRNA from 1 species